rfam:Nematostella vectensis strain CH2 x CH6 NEMVEscaffold_1333_Cont35669, whole genome shotgun sequence.
GCCGUGAUCGUAUAGUGGUUAGUACAUUACGUAGUGGCCGCAAUAACGCAGGUUGGAAUCCUGGUCACGGCA